UACGGGGGGGGCAAGCGUUGUUCGGAAUUACUGGGCGUAAAGGGCUUGUAGGUGGCCAACUAAGUCAGACGUGAAAUCCCUCGGCUUAACUGGGGAACUGCGUCUGAUACUGGAUGGCUUGAGUUUGGGAGAGGGAUGCGGAAUUCCAGGUAUAGCGGUGAAAUGCGUAGAUAUCUGGAGGAACACCGGUGGCGAAGGCGGCAUCCUGGACCAACACUGACACUGAGGAGCGAAAGCCAGGGGAGCAAACGGG
rnacentral:rRNA from 1 species